AUAACUUAAUUUUCAAUCAAGUUAGUUUAUAUGUUUAAUCAAGUCAAGUACUUUCAAAUUAGACAUAUAAAUAUAGGCCAAUUCUUUCCUACAGUAUCUGACUUGUGUGCGUGACUCCAUAUGUUCAAACACUGAGCUGAUAGCAUAGGAAUCGAUUCUUGUACUAAUCGAGAUACCAUCUAGCAAUAAUUUUUGAUAUCC
rnacentral:lncRNA from 1 species